GCACCAGCUUGCUGGUGUGGAUGAGUGGCGAACGGGUGAGUAAUACGUGAGUAACCUGCCCUUGACUCUGGGAUAAGCCCGGGAAACUGGGUCUAAUACUGGAUGCUACAUGUCACCGCAUGGUGGUGUGUGGAAAGGGUUUACUGGUCUUGGAUGGGCUCACGGCCUAUCAGCUUGUUGGUGAGGUAAUGGCUCACCAAGGCGACGACGGGUAGCCGGCCUGAGAGGGUGACCGGCCACACUGGGACUGAGACACGGCCCAGACUCCUACGGGAGGCAGCAGUGGGGAAUAUUGCACAAUGGGCGAAAGCCUGAUGCAGCGACGCCGCGUGAGGGAUGACGGCCUUCGGGUUGUAAACCUCUUUCAGCAGGGAAGAAGCCACAAGUGACGGUACCUGCAGAAGAAGCGCCGGCUAACUACGUGCCAGCAGCCGCGGUAAUACGUAGGGCGCAAGCGUUGUCCGGAAUUAUUGGGCGUAAAGAGCUCGUAGGCGGUUUGUCGCGUCUGCUGUGAAAGCCCGGGGCUUAACCCCGGGUGUGCAGUGGGUACGGGCAGACUAGAGUGCAGUAGGGGAGACUGGAAUUCCUGGUGUAGCGGUGGAAUGCGCAGAUAUCAGGAGGAACACCGAUGGCGAAGGCAGGUCUCUGGGCUGUUACUGACGCUGAGGAGCGAAAGCAUGGGGAGCGAACAGGAUUAAAUACCCUGGUAGUCAUGCCGUAA
rnacentral:rRNA from 1 species